AGCGAACGCUGGCGGCAGGCUUAACACAUGCAAGUCGAACGGGCUUCUUCGGAAGUCAGUGGCAGACGGGUGAGUAACACGUGGGAACGUGCCCUUCGGUUCGGAAUAACUCAGGGAAACUUGAGCUAAUACCGGAUACGCCCUUUUGGGGAAAGGUUUACUGCCGAAGGGUCGGCCCGCGUCUGAUUAGCUUGUUGGUGGGGUAACGGCCUACCAAGGCGACGAUCAGUAGCUGGUCUGAGAGGAUGAUCAGCCACACUGGGACUGAGACACGGCCCAGACUCCUACGGGAGGCAGCAGUGGGGAAUAUUGGACAAUGGGCGCAAGCCUGAUCCAGCCAUGCCGCGUGAGUGAUGAAGGCCUUAGGGUUGUAAAGCUCUUUUGUCCGGGACGAUAAUGACGGUACCGGAAGAAUAAGCCCCGGCUAACUUCGUG
rnacentral:rRNA from 1 species